rnacentral:rRNA from 1 species
UACGGGGGGGGCAAGCGUUGUUCGGAAUUACUGGGCGUAAAGGGCUCGUAGGUUGCCAACUAAGUCAGACGUGAAAUCCCUCGGCUUAACCGGGGAACUGCGUCUGAUACUGGAUGGCUUGAGUUCGGGAGAGGGAUGCGGAAUUCCAGGUGUAGCGGUGAAAUGCGUAGAUAUCUGGAGGAACACCGGUGGCGGAGGCGGCAUCCUGGACCGACACUGACACUGAGGAGCGAAAGCCAGGGGAGCAAACGGG